rnacentral:rRNA from 1 species
UACAGAGGUCUCAAGCGUUGUUCGGAUUCAUUGGGCGUAAAGGGUGUGUAGGUGGCGCGUUAAGUCGGACGUGAAAUCCCUCGGCUCAACCGGGGAACUGCGUCCGAUACUGGCGGGCUUGAAUUCGGGAGAGGGAUGUGGAAUUCCAGGUGUAGCGGUGAAAUGCGUAGAUAUCUGGAGGAACACCGGUGGCGAAGGCGGCAUCCUGGACCAACACUGACGCUGAGUGAGCGAAAGCCAGGGGAGCAAACGGG